CCGAGUUUACAACUCCCAAACCCAAUGUGAACGUUACCAAACUGUUGCCUCGGCGGGAUCUCUGCCCCGGGUGCGUCGCAGCCCCGGACCAAGGCGCCCGCCGAAGGACCAACCAAAAACUCUUAUUGUAUACCCCCCUCGCGGGUUUUUUUAUAAUCUGAGCCUUCUCGGCGCCUCUCGUAGGCGUUUCGAAAAUGAAUCA
rnacentral:misc_RNA from 1 species